UUAUAGACUUGUAGUUGUGCAUGAUACUUGUUGUGUUAUAACGUACAAGGACGUCACAACACGUUAUUCUUGAGGUGUAAAAAUAAAUAUUGGUAGUAAACAUGCCCGUGGUACACACCAUGGGUUACGCACCACGAAAGUGUCCAAUCGGGUAUUAUACAUCCAGCAUGUAUACGGCGUCACAAAAGCCGGAGAAACAGAAAAAUCUAAAUAUACUUGAUAAAAAAUGUUGACACGUGCAAAAUUUCGUCGUACCCACGCCAUAGAAGCUCUUUAUGCCACACCUGCGGAGCAUAGCACCGAUGACGCAGAGAGCGACACGGGCGAUAAGCACACUGCAAAAAUAUGUCAACGUUGUUCUUAGCCGUCGGAAGAUACCGAAACUUAAUUAUGAUAUUUGUCUAAAGAAAUUAUUUUCCAGUUUUUCACUAAUAUUUUGAUUCGGAAUAAAAAAUAACAUUGAAAAAUGUU